CUACGGGCGGCUGCAGUGGGGAAUAUUGCACAAUGGGGGAAACCCUGAUGCAGCAACGCCGCGUGGAGGAUGACACUUUUCGGAGCGUAAACUCCUUUUAUAUAGGAAGAAGAUGACGGUACUAUAUGAAUAAGCGCCGGCUAACUCCGUGCCAGCAGCCGCAGUAAUACGGAGGGCGCAAGCGUUACUCGGAAUCACUGGGCGUAAAGAGCGUGUAGGCGGAUUAAAAAGUCAGAAGUGAAAUCCUAUAGCCUAACUAUAGAACUGCUUCUGAAACUCUUAAUCUAGAAUAUGGGAGAGGUAGAUGGAAUUUCUGGUGUAGGGGUAAAAUCCGUAGAGAUCAGAAGGAAUACCGAUUGCGAAGGCGAUCUACUAGAACAUUAUUGACGCUGAGACGCGAAAGCGUGGGGAGCAAACAGGAUUAGAUACCCUCGUAGUC
rnacentral:rRNA from 1 species